GUGCCAGCCGCAGCGGUAAUACGGAGGGUGCAAGCGUUAAUCGGAAUUACUGGGCGUAAAGCGCACGCAGGCGGUCUGUUAAGUCAGAUGUGAAAUCCCCGGGCUCAACCCGGGAACUGCAUCUGAUACUGGCAGGCUUGAGUCUCGUAGAGGGGGUAGAAUUCCAGGUGUAGCGGUGAAAUGCGUAGAGAUCUGGAGGAAUACCGGUGGCGAAGGCGGCCCCCUGGACGAAGACUGACGCUCAGGUGCGAAAGCGUGGGAGCAAACAGGAUUAGAUACCCUGGUAGUCCACGCCGUAAACGAUGUCGACUUGGAGUUGUGCCCUUGAGGCGUGGCUUCCGGAGCUAACGCGUUAAGUCGACGCCUGGGAGUACGGCCG
rnacentral:rRNA from 1 species